UCUCCUCGGUAUGCUGAUCAAGCAUUGGCAGCAGCUGUUUUCUCCCCAACUCACAAGUCUGCUGUUCUCAAUCAAUUCCAGCAGCAGCAAAGCAUGUUAUCACCGAUCAACACAAAUUUUUCUCCUAAAAAUGUUGAUCACCCUCUGUUGCAGGCCUCUUUUGCAUCAGGCAGGAUGUCACCUCGGAAUGUGGAACCCAUUUCCCCUAUGAGUUCUCGAGUGUCUAUGUUAGCUCAACGUGAGAAACAGCAACAGCAACUACGUAGCCUCAGUUCUCGAGAAUUAGGCUCCAACUCUGCUGCCAUUGUUGGCUCCCCGGUAAAUUCUUGGUCAAAAUGGGGUUCUUC
rnacentral:misc_RNA from 1 species